CCACCACAACAGACGCAAAUUCAAAAUGGCGGCGUUCACGCGACUCAAGUUCAAGUGUUUGUUUGUAACCGAAAGCUGUUUUUAUACCAGAAAAGAAAACGAAGCGACUAAAUCACGCGAAACUGACGCACAUCAGACUGGAAAACACAAAGUCUACAGCAUAGAUGUUUUAUCCUGUGCCUGAAGUGCUGAGAAGUGGUUUUGCUAAUGACAGGCACACAAAGGCAAGGCAAGUUUGUUUAUAUGGGAAAGCCACUGUGAUCUGAAUACUUCGGAGAAGAGGUGAACCAGUUCAGAAGCUCUGCAAAGGGAUUUCUACUGUACUCGGGCCUCCUUUAGUCGGGCAGAUAGGUUACCAAAAAGGAGAAAUCCAGCACCUCCACACCUCUCCCUGGGACGGGACGUCCUACGAAGAUCUGUGUGAGGGUAAAGUGUAAAAAUCUCAAACAAGUGACUUAAAAAGAGCUUCUCUGAUUAAGAUGUCAGACACACGAUAACGCCAGAAAAACACUGGCAAGAACAGUGCUCAUGGGAGGUGAUCGCAGAGAAAACCACUGAUUCGCAGAAUAAAAACAUCGCUGCCCUUCUCAGGUUUGCAGAAAAACUUUCCAGGAUGAUCUGACGCUCUGACGAAAGAUGAUCUUAGGACAGAUGAGAUGUCAGAGAACAUUUAAUUGAUCAAAUGCAAUGAAGAAAUGCCAGGGGUGGACACUGUAGGGUGAGUAAAUGUUUGAUUGAAGUCAUUGCAAAUAAUCUGUAUUUGUUGUAAAGGGUGCACAAGUUUUUCUUUCUCCUGAAUCAUUAACGAUGGCAUUUAAAAACAAUUGGGUAACACUUGAGUCACAAUUCACGCUAUUUACUACUGGCUUAUUAUUAAGAUUAGUAGCUAUAAAUGAUCUUAUUUUUUAUGUACCUAAUACCUAA